UCCCUCUGAAGGACAUGACAGACAGACCAAAGCUCAGAGGACCCAUCAGAGACCAGGACCUGGACCUGGACCCAGCUGUGUGUCCAUGAAGAGUAACCGGUCUAUGGAUCGUCCUAUAUUCUUCAAAGAUGUCCGUCCCUCUGCUGAUGCAAGUUCACAUCAGCAGAGAAGAAAGUCUCCUGAACCCAGAUGUGUGUCCAUGAAGAGUGAUCAUUCUAUUGAUCAUCUGAUUAACUUCAAAGAUGAUCAGUCUAUUGGUGGAAGGAUUAACUUCAAAGAUGGAGGCCGUUCUUUUGACCCAAAAGAGGACCAGGAGAGCUCAGAGGUUCCCACAGAGUCUGCCCAGCAGCAUCAAACCCACCUGGACUCCAUCUUCAUGGUG